GACGAACGCUGGCGGCGUGCUUAACACAUGCAAGUCGAACGAUGAAGCCGGAGCUUGCUCUGGUGAAUUAGUGGCGAACGGGUGAGUAACACGUGAGUAACCUGCCCUUGACUCUGGGAUAACUGCGGGAAACUGUAGCUAAUACCAGAUACGGCCCUCGGAGGCAUCUCCUGGGGGUGGAAAGAAUUUCGGUCAAGGAUGGACUCGCGGCCUAUCAGCUAGUUGGUGAGGUAAAGGCUCACCAAGGCGACGACGGGUAGCCGGCUGAGAGGGUGACCGGCCACACUGGGACUGAGACACGGCCCAGACUCCUACGGGAGGCAGCAGUGGGGAAUAUUGCACAAUAGGCGCAAGCCUGAUGCAGCAACGCCGCGUGAGGGAUGACGGCCUUCGGGUUGUAAACCUCUUUUAGCAGGGAAGAAGCGAAAGUGACGGUACCUGCAGAAAAAGCACCGGCUAACUACGUGCCAGCAGCCGCAGUAA
rnacentral:rRNA from 1 species